rnacentral:misc_RNA from 1 species
UUUCCGUAGGUGAACCUGCGGAAGGAUCAUUAUUGUAUAACCGAGGUGCGAGGGCUGUCGCUGACCCGAAAGGUCGUGCACGCCCGAGUGCCCUCACACACAUCCAUCUCACCCCUAUGUGCACCACCGCGUGGGUCCCCCUUUGGCUUGUUCGGAGGGGGGCUUACGUUUUUACACAAUCUUUGUAUGCAGUGUAGAAUGUAUUUUUUGUUUUUGCGAUCACGCAAUCAAUACAACUUUCAACAACGGAUCUCUUGGCUCUC